GAUGAACGCUGGCGGCGUGCCUAAUACAUGCCAGUCGAGCGAACAGACGAGGAGCUUGCUCCUCUGACGUUAGCGGCGGACGGGUGAGUAACACGUGGAUAACCUACCUAUAAGACUGGGAUAACUUCGGGAAACCGGAGCUAAUACCGGAUAAUAUAUUGCACCGCAUGGUUCAAUAGUGAAAGACGGUUUUGCUGUCACUUAUAGAUGGAUCCGCGCCGCAUUAGCUGGUUGGUAAGGUAACGGCUUACCAAGGCAACGAUGCGUAGCCGACCUGCGAGGGUGAUCGGCCACACUGGAACUGAGACACGGUCCAGACGCCUACGGGAGGCAGCAGUAGGGAAUCUUCCGCAAUGGGCGAAAGCUUGACGGAGCAACGCCGCGUGAGUGAUGAAGGUCUUCGGAUCGUAAAACUCUGUUAUUAGGGAAGAACAGAUGUGUAAGUAACUAUGCACGUCUUGACGGUACCGAAUCAGAAAGCCACGGCUAACUACGUG
rnacentral:rRNA from 1 species